ensembl:lncRNA
AUCUUGGUGUUUAACAUAUCCUUUUUGAAUUUUUUUUUUUAAGUAGUUAUUAUGACUUAUUAAAUGGUAAAAGUUGGAUAUAUGAGAACAGAAGAUUAUUCACAAUAGAAGUUAAGGUGGUGGAAAAAGUUAAAACAAAAAGCAAGCCCCACCAUACCUGGAUUGUUGAUUUCAUUUACACUGGAUACUUACAUCAAUGUUUGCUUUUGUCCGAUUUAUCUUAUACUUUUGUUACAAUGAUGGAAGGAUUGAUAGGGUUAAUAGACUUGACUAGCCUCUCACUUAAACUGAGGUUGUCUCUGUGGGGUUCAGAUAAUAUAACCCUAAUCACGUGAUGUGAAACUAGUGAGAUGAGAAAUCUUUCACUUUGGGGAGAAUGAUUUAUUUGUGUCCCAGUACUUCGGCACCUCAGUUCUCUCUUCUAGAGCUGAAGUUGCAUCUUGUUUGGGCCCAGCCCCCAGAAAUAGGAAUCCAAGCAGGAAGUCUGGGAGCUCUUGUUCCAGGCCUUGUGCUUGUUCCCCUUCCUGAAUUUGCAGCAAAGUGUCUAGUGCCUCUUUUAGUUCUGCUCUUAGUGAUCAAAAUAAGUUAUUUCAUCAGGUAUUUUCUUUUACCACACAAGUCCUUCAUUCUGUCUUUAUGGAUUUUAUCCGUAUCCAUCCUUUAUGCAAAAUUAUAUUAAUGCAGUAUGCUUGUCCUUGAGAAAGUAUGUUGCAGUAUGUUUACAGACUGUGGGCAUUGCACAUGUUUUUAAAUACAGACUAGAUUUUCCCCGUUUUUAAUUUCAAGGCAAAUACACGUAAUGACACCAGGGGAAAUGUCAGCUGUUCUUCAGGUUUUCCCAUCAACUAUGAUUCAUUUUCAUCCUGUCUGCCUCCAUUUUAUUCAUGUUCCAGGUAAUGAGUAUUUCAGGAGUUCAAAGCAGGCUUCUAAUACAUCUGAACUGGGAACUGAAGGACUGCUACUCUUUGGCAACUCUUUCUGCAUAAGAUGCAGCUGUGCUGAAGCUGAGAGCCUUCCACCUUCACAGAUCUGGAAUCUCAAAGGUUGCGUUGUUCCAAGACUAAGAAAGGCCUCAGUGAAUAAAAGCAUGCUAGAAGUAAAUUGUCUCACCUGGUUUGUCGUGGAAUUCAAGAGUGCGUGGACAAUCCAGUCUAAGCAAGAGACAACAGCUGCUGUGAGACCCAUGGAAAGGAGGCACAAAGGAACAAGGGACUGGCAGUGAGUGAGCAGUGGCACUGGUCCUGAGACCGCCAGCGCAACCUCCAUUUCUCACUGCUGAAAACAGACUGAGCUUUCCAGGAACUCUCCCUUGUGGACCUUUCUAGUGAGCAUCCCG